UGAUAGUGUAGCAUGUAAUGUAAUUAUGUAGCAGAAUUAAUUUUAUUUAUUUAUUUUAUUUUUCUUUAUGAACCUUCUCAAAACUAAUUUUCUUUGAAUUGACAUGUCUGUAAUAUAUUAUUUCUGUUUUAUCUUGCUUUCAUUUUUGGUCCCUAGUGUGUAAAAGGCCAUCCUCAUCUAUGAAUAUCUGUUUUCCUUUGUUUUUUAAUUGUAUUUUGUUUCGGUGGGGAAGCUUUUAUUUUCUUACUUCCUGUUUGUGCGUUAUAUCUUGUGUGUUCCCGCUGCCCUCCUCAGUUCGCGCCAAGCUGCGCUGGGGAGAGGGUGUUUGUGGAGAAUCCGGAGCCCAGGAGCUGCUGUGCUUAAAAUGUUCUUGUUUUGAACAGGUAUGUGGGUUGUUUCAGAUUUUAUUCGGAUGUUAAAUUAAUGUAUUUAGUAUAUUUCUAUGUUAUGGUGGAAAAUUGUAAUUGUAGGGCAGAUUAUUUCUGUUUAGGUUUUAUUUUAAUUGCUUUGUAUGUCAGAGAAUUUUAGUUUUGUUUAAUGCAUUUCUGUCAGUUCGCGCCAAGCUGCGCUGGGGAGAGGGUGUUUGUGGAGAAUCCGGAGCCCAGGAGCUGCUGUGCUUAAAAUGUUCUUGUUUUGAACAAGAAUAAAAUUAUCCUGAAUCCUGAUUCCGAUGUGGUCCUGACUUCCUGUUUCACGACCGUUACAAUAGCAACAGCAAGGCACCAGAAUUUGUUAACAGACUAGAACAGAUAGAAGGGGAAUAGAAGUUCUGAGGCUUAAGAAGUUUCUCUAUGGAAAAUCACCAGCUCAGAGUUUUAAGAGUUUGAUGCACCUGCUGGAUACUCUGGUUUGACAAUGUUCUUGUUAUGCAAAAUUGUUCCAUUAGCAAACCUGAUUUUUGGGAAACUCACAUAUUUGAACAAGAAGAUGUUUAUCAUCCAAGGAGUUAACUGACCCUCCAGUGUGAUUACAUGGCUUGUAUAUUGUUCAGCUGAAACUGGAAUGACUGCAUUGUGUAACAUGAGUUCUAUAUAUUGUGAGAGCUUACAGCUCCAAAUCAGAACUCAGAGCAGCUUGCUGCUGUGUUUGUUCUCCGUCUGCAGACGAAAUAAAGCUUUGCUCUUUGCCA